GGGCUCACACAAGCGGUGGAGCAUGUGGCUUAAUUCGAGGCAACGCGAAGAACCUUAUCCUGGAUUUGACAUGGUCGGAUUAGGUGUCCGAAAGGUCACUGACGCCUUCGGGUGGAACGAUCACAGGUGCUGCAUGGCUGUCGUCAGCUCGUGUCGUGAGAUGUCGCGUUAAGUCGCUAAACGAGCGAAACCCCUGUCCCUAGUUGCCAUCGCGUAACGGCGGGGACUCUAGGGAGACCGCCGGCGUCAAGCCGGAGGAAGGCGGGGAUGACGUCAAGUCCUCAUGGCCUUUAUGUCCAGGGCUGCACACGUGCUACAAUGGGGCGUACAGAGGGAAGCCAAGCUGCAAAGCGGAGCAAAUCCCAGAAAGCGUCCCCCAGUUCGGAUUGCAGGCUGCAAUUCGCCUGCAUGAAGCCGGAAUCGCUAGUAAUCGCCGGUCAGCAAUACGGCGGUGAAUGUGUUCCUGAGCCUU
rnacentral:rRNA from 1 species